rnacentral:lncRNA from 1 species
AUCGCUGUGGUCCAUCUCUAUUUACUGCAAGUGGAAGGGUCAAGACAGGAAACAUAGAGGCUUUUAGUAGGAGAGACACAGCAGAUUGAAGUAGCCGCAGUGCAAGACGGAAAGAGGGCUUCGUGCACGGUGUGCAUUUGCCACCUAGUGACCACAUUGAAUGGUGGUAUUUGUCAUUCCCACCUCAAACUGGUAGCAUGACCUUGACUCCUGAAUUCUGUGGUCCCUAUACAACUGCAAGUCAUUCUCAUGCAACAUUUUGGCUUAUACCUUGUCUGCUGCACCUUUGUGAUCUUUAGAACAAUAUGCAAGUUCAAGUCAUCGUUGCUGAGUUGCCUAGCUGAUUGUGCAUGUGCAAAAAUAAAUCAGCAUUUGAGUUACUUGCUUC